AGGGAGGUUGAUGUUCAAGUGGAUCUCUUACAUGCUGACACUGGUGCUAAUCGUCUUCUACGGAGGAGGUCAAUGGUUCAAGAAAAUGAGGUUGUUGUCCAAGCCAUAUUCCAUUCUAUAAAAUAAGUUCGUUAUAUUGAAAGUACUGCAUAAUUAAGAAUAUAUGCGUCCCUGUAAUUUUCUUUUGCUUAAUAAAAUUUCGAUAAAAGUAAUCAAAAUAGAUUAUGAUUACCUUAUUUCUUGGAUAUUUGGAUCUUUUUGACAAAAAAUGUUUAAUUUAAGUGAGAGUUUUAAAUCGU